CGCGGCCUAUCAGCUUGUUGGUGGGGUGAUGGCCUACCAAGGCAGUGACGGGUAGCCGGCCUGAGAGGGCGACCGGCCACACUGGGACUGAGACACGGCCCAGACUCCUACGGGAGGCAGCAGUGGGGAAUAUUGCGCAAUGGGCGGAAGCCUGACGCAGCGACGCCGCGUGAGGGAUGACGGUCUUCGGAUUGUAAACCUCUUUCACCCACGACGAAGCGAAAGUGACGGUAGUGGGAGAAGAAGCACCGGCCAACUACGUGCCAGCAGCCGCGGUAAUACGUAGGGUGCAAGCGUUGUCCGGAAUUAUUGGGCGUAAAGAGCUCGUAGGCGGCUUGUCACGUCGACUGUGAAAACCCGGGGCUCAACUCCGGGCCUGCAGUCGAUACGGGCUGGCUUGAGUGCGGUAGGGGAGACUGGAAUUCCUGGUGUAGUGGUGAAAUGCGCAGAUAUCGGGAGGAACACCGGUGGCGAAGGCGGGUCUCUGGGCCGCAACUGACGCUGAGGAGCGAAAGCGUGGGGAGCGAACAGGAUUAGAUACCCUGGUAGUCCACGCCGUAAACGUUGGGCGCUAGGUGUGGGGACCUAUCCACGGUCUCCGUGCCGCAGCUAACGCAUUAAGCGCCCCGCC
rnacentral:rRNA from 1 species